rnacentral:rRNA from 1 species
GACGAACGCUGGCGGCGUGCUUAACACAUGCAAGUCGAGCGGAAAGGCCACUUCGGUGGUCCUCGAGCGGCGUACGGGUGAGUAACACGCGAGUAAUCUGCCCCUCACUUUGGGAUAGCCACCGGAAACGGUGAUUAAUUCCGGAUAUGACAAAUUGUUGCAUGGCGGGUGGUGGAAAGUUUUUUGGGGUGGGUGGUGCUCGCGGCCUAUCGGCUUGAGGGGGAGGUAAGGUCUCACCAUGGGUUCGACGGGUAGCCGGCCUGAGAGGGUGACCGGGCACACUGGGCCUGGGCCACGGCCCAGACUCCUACGGGAGGCAGCGGUGGGGAAUAUUGGACAGUGGGCGGAAGCCUGAUCCAGCAACGCCGCGUGAGGGAUGACGGCCUUCGGGUUGUAAACCUCUUUCCGUACAGACGAAGCGCAAGUGACGGUAGGUACAGAAGAAGCACCGGCCAACUACGUG